rnacentral:rRNA from 1 species
ACGAACGCUGGCGGCGUGGAUAAGACAUGCAAGUCGAACGGGAGAAUUGCUAGCUUGCUAAUAAUUCUCUAGUGGCGCACGGGUGAGUAACACGUGAGUAACCUGCCUCUUAGUGGGGGAUAGCCCUGGGAAACCGGGAUUAAUACCGCAUACGAUUGAAAGAUCAAAGCAGCAAUGCGCUAGGAGAUGGGCUCGCGGCCUAUUAGUUAGUUGGUGAGGUAACGGCUCACCAAGGCGAUGACGGGUAGCCGGUCUGAGAGGAUGUCCGGCCACACUGGAACUGAGACACGGUCCAGACACCUACGGGUGGCAGCAGUCGAGAAUCAUUCACAAUGGGGGCAACCCUGAUGGUGCGACGCCGCGUGGGGGAAUGAAGGUCUUCGGAUUGUAAACCCCUGUCAUGUGGGAGCAAAUUAAAAAGAUAGUACCACAAGAGGAAGAGACGGCUAACUCUGUGCCAGCAGCCGCGGUAAUACAGAGGUCUCAAGCGUUGUUCGGAAUCACUGGGCGUAAAGCGUGCGUAGGCUGUUUCGUAAGUCGUGUGUGAAAGGCAGGGGCUCAACCCCUGGAUUGCACAUGAUACUGCGAGACUAGAGUAAUGGAGGGGGAACCGGAAUUCUCGGUGUAGCAGUGAAAUGCGUAGAUAUCGAGAGGAACACUCGUGGCGAAGGCGGGUUCCUGGACAUUAACUGACGCUGAGGCACGAAGGCCAGGGGAGCGAAAGGGAUUAGAUACCCCUGUAGUCCUGGCAGUAAACGGUGCACGCUUGGUGUGCGGGGAAUCGACCCCCUGCGUGCCGGAGCUAACGCGUUAAGCGUGCCGCCUGGGGAGUACGGUCGCAAGAUUAAAACUCAAAGAAAUUGACGGGGACCCGCACAAGCGGUGGAGUAUGUGGCUUAAUUCGAUGCAACGCGAAGAACCUUACCUGGGCUUGACAUGUAAUGAACAACAUGUGAAAGCAUGCGACUCUUCGGAGGCGUUACACAGGUGCUGCAUGGCCGUCGUCAGCUCGUGUCGUGAGAUGUUUGGUUAAGUCCAGCAACGAGCGCAACCCCUGUUGCCAGUUACCAGCACGUCAAGGUGGGGACUCUGGCGAGACUGCCCAGAUCAACUGGGAGGAAGGUGGGGACGACGUCAGGUCAGUAUGGCCCUUAUGCCCAGGGCUGCACACGUACUACAAUGCCCAGUACAGAGGGGGCCGAAGCCGCGAGGCGGAGGAAAUCCUGAAAACUGGGCCCAGUUCGGACUGUAGGCUGCAACCCGCCUACACGAAGCCGGAAUCGCUAGUAAUGGCGCAUCAGCUACGGCGCCGUGAAUACGUUCCCGGGUCUUGUACACACCGCCCGUCACAUCAUGGAAGCCGGUCGCACCCGAAGUAUCUGAAGCCAACCGCAAGGAGGCGGGGUCCUAAGGUGAGACUGGUAACUGGGAUG